rnacentral:rRNA from 1 species
AUUGAACGCUGGCGGCAGGCCUAACACAUGCAAGUCGAACGAGUGGCGGACGGGUGAGUAAUGUCUGGGAAACUGCCUGAUGGAGGGGGAUAACUACUGGAAACGGUAGCUAAUACCGCAUACCAUCGGAUGUGCCCAGAUGGGCUUAGCUAGUAGGUGGGGUAAAGGCUCACCUAGGCGACGAUCCCUAGCUGGUCUGAGAGGAUGACCAGCCAGACUGGGACUGAGACACGGUCCAGACUCCUACGGGAGGCAGCAGUGGGGAAUAUUGCACAAGGGGCGCAAGCCUGAUGCAGCCAUGCCGCGUGUAUGAAGAAGGCCUUCGGGUUGUAAAGUACUUUCAGCGAGGAGGCGUUACUCGCAGAAGAAGCACCGGCUAACUCCGUGCCAGCAGCCGCGGUAAUUC